GAUAAACGCUGGCGGCGUGCCUAACACAUGCAAGUCGAACGUCCUCUCUCGCAAGAGAGAGGGAGUGGCGGACGGGUGAGUAACACAUGGGUCACCUACCCUUAAGUGAGGAAUACCGGCGAGAAAUCGCCGACAAGACCGCAUAGGCUCUCUCUUUUACAAGAGAGAGCAAAGCUUCGCAAGAGGCGCUUGAGGAUGGGCCUGUGGCCGAUUAGCUGGUUGGUAGGGAAUGGCUUACCAAGGCGACGAUCGGUAGCUGGUCUGAGAGGACGAUCAGCCACACUGGGAUUGAGAACGGCCCAGACUCCUACGGGGGGCAGCAGUGAGGAAUUUUACCGUC
rnacentral:rRNA from 1 species